rnacentral:rRNA from 1 species
AUUGAACGCUGGCGGCAGGCCUAACACAUGCAAGUCGAGCGAGCGGCGGGCGGGUGAGUAAUGUAUGGGGACUGCCCGAUAGAUGGGGAUCACUACUGGAAACGGUAGCUAAUACCGCAUACUAUCGGAUAACCCAUAUGGGAUUAGCUAGUUGGUGAGGUAAUGGCUCACCUAGGCUACGAUCCCUAGCUGGGCUGAGAGGAUGAUCAGCCACACUGGGACUGAGACACGGCCCAGACUCCGACGGAGGCAGCAGUGGGGAAUAUUGCACAAUGGGCGCAAGCCUGAUGCAGCCAUGCCGCGUGUAUGAAGAAGGCCUUAGGGGUGUAAAGUACUGUCAGUCGGGAGGCGUUACCGACAGAAGAAGCCCCGGCUAACUCCGUGCCAGCAGCCGCGGUAAUUC